rnacentral:rRNA from 1 species
GAUGAACGCUAGCGGGAGGCCUAAUACAUGCAAGUCGAGCGGUAGAGUGACUUCGGUUGCUUGAGAGCGGCGAACGGGUGAGUAACGCGUACACAAUCUACCUUUAAGAGGGGAAUAGCCCUGGGAAACUGGGAUUAAUGCCCCAUGGCAUCACGAAGUGGCAUCGCUUUGUGAUUAAAGCUGAGGUGCUUAGAGAUGAGUGUGCGUCUGAUUAGCUAGUUGGUGCGGUAACGGCGCACCAAGGCGACGAUCAGUAGGGGGCGUGAGAGCGUGGACCCCCACACGGGUACUGAGACACGGACCCGACUCCUACGGGAGGCAGCAGUAAGGAAUAUUGGUCAAUGGAGGAAACUCUGAACCAGCCAUCCCGCGUGCAGGAAGAAUGCCCUAUGGGUUGUAAAACUGCUUUUAUCUGGGAAGAAAAGUCGGCAUUUAUGCUGAUCUGACGGUACCAGAGGAAUAAGCACCGGCUAACUCCGUGCCAGCAG